rnacentral:snRNA from 1 species
GUGCUUCGACAGCACUUAUACUAAAAAUGGAACCAUGCAGAGAAGAUUAGCAUGGCUCCUGCAUAAGGAUGACACACAUAUUCAUGAACACCUCCUCUACCUC